rnacentral:rRNA from 1 species
UACGGAGGGUGCAAGCGUUGUUCGGAUUUAUUGGGCGUAAAGCGCGUGUAGGCGGUCUUUUAAGUCUGAUGUGAAAGCCCCGGGCUCAACCCGGGAAGUGCAUUGGAUACUGGGAGACUUGAAUACGGGAGAGGGUAGUGGAAUUCCUAGUGUAGGAGUGAAAUCCGUAGAUAUUAGGAGGAACACCGGUGGCGAAGGCGGCUACCUGGACCGAUAUUGACGCUGAGACGCGAAAGCGUGGGGAGCAAACAGG